rnacentral:rRNA from 1 species
UGGGGAAUUUUCCACAAUGGGCGAAAGCCUGAUGGAGCAACGCCGCGUGUGUGAUGAAGGUCUUCGGAUCGUAAAGCACUUUCGACCGGGACGAAAAACCUUUGGCUAACAUCCAGGGGCCUGACGGUACCGGGAGAAGAAGCACCGGCUAACUCUGUGCCAGCAGCCGCGGUAAUACAGAGGGUGCAAGCGUUGUUCGGAAUUAUUGGGCGUAAAGGGCGCGUAGGCGGCCCGGUAAGUAGGGGGUGAAAUCUCAUGGCUCAACUGUGAGGCUGCCUUCUAGACUGCCAGGCUUGAGCACAGUAGAGGCGAGUGGAAUUCCCGGUGUAGCGGUGGAAUGCGUAGAGAUCGGGAAGAACAUCGGUGGCGAAGGCGGCUCGCUGGGCUGUUGCUGACGCUGAGGCGCGAAAGCGUGGGGAGCAAACAGGAUUAGAUACCCUCGUAGUCCCUGAGCGGGCUGGCAAGGCGCAU